rnacentral:rRNA from 1 species
CAACGGAGGAAGGUGGGGAUGACGUCAAGUCCUCAUGGCCCUUAUGUCCAGGGCUACACACGUGCUACAAUGGAUGCUACAGAGGGAAGCAAGACCGCGAGGUGGAGCCAACCCCUAAAAGCAUUCGUAGUUGGGAUCGGAGUCUGCAACUCGACUCCGUGAACCUGGAAUCGCUAGUAAUCGUGGAUCAGCUACGCCACGGUGAAUACGUUCCCGGGCCUU